CCUACGGGUGGCAGCAGUGGGGGAUAUUGCACAAUGGGGGAAACCCUGAUGCAGCGACGCCGCGUGGGCGAAGAAGUAUUUCGGUAUGUAAAGCCCUAUCAGCAGGGAAGAAGAAAUGACGGUACCUGAGUAAGAAGCACCGGCUAAAUACGUGCCAGCAGCCGCGGUCAUACGUAGGAUCCGAGCAUUAUCCGGAGUGACUGGGUGUAAAGAGUUGCGUAGGUGGCAUAAUAAGUAGCUAGUGAAAUCUGGUGGCUCAACCAUUCAGACUAUUAGGUAAACUGUUAAGCUCGAGACCGUUAGGGGUAACUGGAAUUUCUAGUGUAGGAGUGAAAUCCGUAGAUAUUAGAAGGAACACCAAUAGCGUAGGCAGGUUGCUGGGACGGUUCUGACACUAAGGCACGAAAGCGUAGGGAGCAAACGGGAUUAGAUACCCUAGUAGUC
rnacentral:rRNA from 1 species